UACGUAGGGGGCAAGCGUUGUCCGGAUUUAUUGGGCGUAAAGAGCGUGUAGGCGGCCAGGUAGGUCUGCUGUGAAAACUCGAGGCUCAACCUCGAGAUGUCGGCGGAAACCAUCUGACUAGAGUCCGGAAGAGGAGAGUGGAAGUUCCUGGUGUAGCGGUGAAAUGCGCAGAUAUCAGGAAGAACACCCGUGGCUAAGGCGGCUCUCUAGUACGUGACUGACGCUGAGACGCGAAAGCGUGGGGAGCGAACAGG
rnacentral:rRNA from 1 species